CCUGCUUGGGGAAAGGAGCUACUCACAACAGGUCUCCUCUCUUCUGAGAGCUGGACACUUGUUGGGAGAACCUGCCUGC
ensembl:miRNA